AGUGAACGCUGGCGGUAGGCCUAGCACAUGCAAGUCGAACGGCAGCACAGUAAGAGCUUGCUCUUACGGGUGGCGAGUGGCGGACGGGUGAGGAAUACAUCGGAAUCUACUUUUUCGUGGGGGAUAACGUAGGGAAACUUACGCUAAUACCGCAUACGACCUACGGGUGAAAGCAGGGGAUCUUCGGACCUUGCGCGAUUGAAUGAGCCGAUGUCGGAUUAGCUAGUUGGCGGGGUAAAGGCCCACCAAGGCGACGAUCCGUAGCUGGUCUGAGAGGAUGAUCAGCCACACUGGAACUGAGACACGGUCCAGACUCCUACGGGAGGCAGCAGUGGGGAAUAUUGGACACUGGGCGGAAGCCUGCUCCAGCCAUACCGCGUGGGUGAAGAAGGCCUUCGGGUUGUAAAGCCCUUUUGUUGGGAAAGAAAAGCAGCAGGUUAAUACCCCGCUGUUCUGACGGUACCCAAAGAAUAAGCACCGGCUAACUUCGU
rnacentral:rRNA from 1 species